GUCCUAGCCGUAAACGAUGGGCACUAGGUGUGGGGGGACGAUCCCUCCGUGCCGCAGCUAACGCAUUAAGUGCCCCGCCUGGGGAGUACGGCCGCAAGGCUAAAACUCAAAAGGAAUUGACGGGGGCCCGCACAAGCAGCGGAGCAUGUGGCUUAAUUCGAAGCAACGCGAAGAACCUUACCAGGGCUUGACAUCUAGGUGAAGCGGGGGAAACCUCGUGGCCGAGAGGAGCCUAGACAGGUGGUGCAUGGCUGUCGU
rnacentral:rRNA from 1 species